UACGGAGGAUGCAAGCGUUAUCCGGAAUGAUUGGGCGUAAAGCGUCCGCAGGUGGCUAUGUAAGUCUGCUGUUAAAGAGUGAGGCUCAACCUCAUAAGAGCAGUGGAAACUACAUGGCUAGAGUGCGUUCGGGGCAAAGGGAAUUCCUGGUGUAGCGGUGAAAUGCGUAGAUAUCAGGAAGAACACCGGUGGCGAAAGCGCUCUGCUAGGCCGCAACUGACACUGAGGGACGAAAGCUAGGGGAGCGAAUGGG
rnacentral:rRNA from 1 species